ACUACGCCUUGAAAAAGGCGCGCUGGGC
rnacentral:sRNA from 1 species